rnacentral:rRNA from 1 species
GGGCCAGUGGCGGCUGCCCUUACAAUGCAAGUCGAACGGCAGCGCGGGGCAACCUGGCGGCGAGUGGCGAACGGGUGAGUAAUAUAUCGGAACGUGCCCUGGAGUGGGGGAUAACGCAGCGAAAGUUGCGCUAAUACCGCAUACGAUCUAAGGAUGAAAGCAGGGGACCGCAAGGCCUUGUGCUCCUGGAGCGGCCGAUAUCUGAUUAGCUAGUUGGUGGGGUAAAGGCCUACCAAGGCAUCGAUCAGUAGCUGGUCUGAGAGGACGACCAGCCACACUGGAACUGAGACACGGUCCAGACUCCUACGGGAGGCAGCAGUGGGGAAUUUUGGACAAUGGGCGCAAGCCUGAUCCAGCAAUGCCGCGUGAGUGAAGAAGGCCUUCGGGUUGUAAAGCUCUUUUGUCAGGGAAGAAACGGUGAGUUCUAAUACAGUUCACUAAUGACGGUACCUGAAGAAUAAGCACCGGCUAACUACGUGCCAGCAGCCGCGGUAAUACGUAGGGUGCAAGCGUUAAUCGGAAUUACUGGGCGUAAAGCGUGCGCAGGCGGUUUUGUAAGUUUGUCGUGAAAUCCCCGGGCUCAACCUGGGAAUGGCGAUGAAGACUGCAAGGCUAGAAUCUGGCAGAGGGGGGUAGGAUUCCACGUGUAGCAGUGAAAUGCGUAGAGAUGUGGAGGAACACCGAUGGCGAAGGCAGCCCCCUGGGUCAAGAUUGACGCUCAUGCACGAAAGCGUGGGGAGCAAACAGGAUUAGAUACCCUGGUAGUCCACGCCCUAAACGAUGUCUACUAGUUGUCGGGUUUUAAUUAACUUGGUAACGCAGCUAACGCGUGAAGUAGACCGCCUGGGGAGUACGGUCGCAAGAUUAAAACUCAAAGGAAUUGACGGGGACCCGCACAAGCGGUGGAUGAUGUGGAUUAAUUCGAUGCAACGCGAAAAACCUUACCUACCCUUGACAUGGUCGGAA